UACGAAGGGGGCUAGCGUUGCUCGGAAUUACUGGGCGUAAAGGGCGCGUAGGCGGCACUGUUAGUCAGGCGUGAAAUUCCUGGGCUCAACCUGGGGACUGCGCUUGAUACGGCAGAGCUUGAGGAUGGAAGAGGGUCGCGGAAUUCCCCAGUGUAGAGGUGAAAUUCGUAGAUAUUGGGAAGAACACCGGUGGCGAAGGCGGCGACCUGGUCCAUUACUGACGCUGAGGCGCGACAGCGUGGGGAGCAAACAGG
rnacentral:rRNA from 1 species